AUCCGAUUUGCGAGUCAUUUCAGAUCCGGGGAUUCUGGUUCGGAACCGCUCUAGCUCGUUAUCUCAACUUCCCUAGUUUCAAUUGCGUUCUGAGGGGGAGAAGAAAGUGAAGAAAAUCAUACUGCUCUGAACGAGGAGAAAAAGUAGCCAAUCUAAUUCGUCGUCGUCGCCGUCGCUCGCCCUGCGAACUUCACGGUCCGUUCAGAUCUGAUUGUCGAAUUGCUGAUUACUGCUAAGGAAUCGAGGAGUUUGUUGCUGGUUCUUGAUCAUCUGUAUAUAUGCCUGAUGUGUUGUUCGGAUCUAUUGAGAUCAAUGUUAAUCUGCUAAGAUUCUGGUGGUUAUGGAGAAGAUCUAGAGAUUACUGUCAAUCUCACAUGAUUAAAACCCUAAAGAAAUGAUAUUCAGAAUUUGAAGACUUUUGAUUGAAUCUGUAGUCGUAGAUUUUAGGUCUCGAAGGUUAACGUGGUAGAAACUGACUAGAUCGAGCAAUCAUAGUUUACUUAGAGAUAAUCACGAUGGAGACUCUUGUAGUUGUUGCACAGCAUCGGAAUGAAUACCACAGCAGAAGCAGGGCUCAAGGCCAAGCAAGGCUUGGGUGGUUUGGGUCCCCACCUUCUAGGGGCUUCACAGAAAUCAGUUGUCGAACCUUUCAGUCCGGAGCCGGUAUACUUCCAUCUCCGUUGAAUUCUUGUACUACUCCUGUAACCAAACGGGUACCUUCUUAUUUGUCUUCACCCAAAACAGCAUCGCCAUAUUUUCAGUCUCGUAACAGUGAUGAAUCUGAACACUUGAAAAAAACAGCCAGAAGUAGUGCUAUCCCCAUUCCUAUUGACAUCAAUGCUAAUCCGCGCAAGGAGCAGCCUUUCAAUGAUGGAUUGACUUACUCUGAGCUCUGGGCUGGACCAGCAUAUUCAAAUUCACCCCCGCCUAGUUCUUUGCCCAUGCCAAAAUUUUCUCUCCGCCCCAAGAGGACUGUAUCACUUGAAUUACCCUCUUCUCCACGCUGUGAUAUCGAUUUUCACCCAAUAGCCAAGUCUGCACCCCCUUCCCCCACAAGGAACCAUAGCAGCUCUUCUGGCAAUCUCUUUGACAGUGCAGACUCUGCGACGAGGACCCUUCGUCGCAUGCUCAACCUUGACAUUUCAGAUGGAUAAAAUGCAGGAGAUUAAAGUUCCUGUAAAUAAACUAUUGUGCAAAGUUGGUAGUGGUAGAUUGUAUAGAGGAUCAGUAAAUUAGCCUGCUGUGCAACUUUCUAGAAGAUCAUUUAGUGGCAUGCAGUGGUGUUAAAACAAGAGUGAUGGACGGUUGGCCAGUGGUCUGCUGGGAUGCCAUUGAUGCUUGAUGGGACUUCGUUAAUGCAUCUCUUUGCGAAAUGGUUGGGGAACUUACAUGGAUGACUGUUGGCUGAAAUUGAUGCGGAACCAGAAGGGGAAGCAGUUGAUGGAAUUAGGUUGUUAAAAGUGUUUGAUAUUGCAGUGGUUCUGGGGAUUGACGGUUCUGAAGUCUGGUUGCAUAAGAUGAACUAAAGUUUAGUUAAUUAAUGCUGACAUGAAGAUUUAUCUUUCUACAAUCUCAAUGGAGUCAAUCUUGUUCACUUCUUAGGUUUGGUUUUUAGUUUCAUAUACUCUGUAUAUAUUGUAGAAUCCCAACUUGGUUCCUUACACAACUUCUGUACAAUUAUAUCUUUUUCCUGUCAAGAGUCAUGUUUGUCUCCGUACUUAUGACUCCUAUUGUCUUUCCUUCUUACUUGUCCAGUAUAAGUUCUUCUCUUCAUCUUCCCCUGAAUCGACUGCCCGGACAUCCUUUUGUUUCUCCUACUAGUAGCCUGAAUGCGCUGCUCGCAUCACUUUCUUCUCUUUUUUCUCUCUCUUCUUUAGAUAUGACUCCUCUAUCCUCACUCCGAGAGAGUGCUAUCUUCCCCUUCACCACCUUUUCUGUUUUUUUAAUAAGAAAAGGGGGAAGGGGAAGCAAACUAGUUUGUUGCUGCUUUUGCUUUUGGUUGUUCAGGUCGUAUGGGUUAUCUGUGUCAAGCCAUCCAACUCUAAGCCCCUUUGGUUGUUUCCGAGAGUGGGCGAUGCCCCUUUAUCUUCAGUGUCUGUUUUUCACCUGUAGACUCUUUACAUUCUUGGAGGUUGUUGAUUAUGCCGAGCUAUUCAGAAGUGUGCUAGAAGGAAGCCGAACGAAUAACUUCAGGAAGUUGUUUCUCAAAUAAGGCAGUGUUGUUGACAAGUUAUUUUCGUUUUUGGUUCACUGGGUUGUAGCCGUUUCCUGUUUUCUGGUGCCUAUGCCCCCCCUUGUGGGUGGGUGUUAUUAUAUAGAACAAUAGUUUGGUGUUGUUCUGGAAAGUUGCCUUUAUGUUAACACUGGGUUCUGUGUUUUGAUUUGUUGGAGCUGUAAUAGGCAGUGUUGGAUGUAGAUGGAUUUAUUUGCACCUUGUCUUACUACGUUUUAAAAGACUUCUAUGUUAUUUCGUUUA